UACGUAGGGUGCAAGCGUUGUCCGGAAUUAUUGGGCGUAAAGAGCUCGUAGGCGGUCUGUCGCGUCUGCUGUGAAAACUCAGGGCUUAACCCUGAGCUUGCAGUGGGUACGGGCAGACUAGAGUGCGGUAGGGGAGACUGGAAUUCCUGGUGUAGCGGUGAAAUGCGUAGAUAUCAAGAGGAACACCUGCGGCGAAGGCGGGUUGCUGGGCCGACACUGACGCUGAUGCGCGAAAGCCAGGGGAGCGAACGGG
rnacentral:rRNA from 1 species